rnacentral:rRNA from 1 species
UACGGAGGGUGCGAGCGUUGUCCGGAAUUACUGGGCGUAAAGAGCUCGUAGGCGGUUUGUCGCGUUGUUCGUGAAAUCUCACGGCUUAACUGUGAGCGUGCGGGCGAUACGGGCAGACUAGAGUACUGCAGGGGAGACUGGAAUUCCUGGUGUAGCGGUGGAAUGCGCAGAUAUCAGGAGGAACACCGGUGGCGAAGGCGGGUCUCUGGGCAGUAACUGACGCUGAGGAGCGAAAGCGUGGGGAGCGAACAGG